AAAAAGUAGAAACCAGAAACUACUAAAAAAACGGGGAUAAAUCCGAAAAUCCAAAGAGUAGGAAAUUU
rnacentral:ncRNA from 1 species